GAUGAAGAACGUAGCGAAAUGCGAUAAGUAAUGUGAAUUGCAGAAUUCAGUGAAUCAUCGAAUCUUUGAACGCACAUUGCGCCCGCCAGUAUUCUGGCGGUCAUGCCUGUUCGAGCGUCAUUACAACCCUCAGGCCCCCGGGCCUGGCGUUGGGGAUCGGCGGAAGCCCCCUGCGGGCACAACGCCGUCCCCCAAAUACAGUGGCGAUCCCGCCGCAGCUUCCAUUGCGUAGUAGCUAACACCUCGCAACUGGAGAGCGGCGCGGCCACGCCGUAAAACACCCAACUUCUGAAUGUUGACCUCGAAUCAGGUAGGAAUACCCGCUGAACUUAAGCAUAUCAAUAAGCGGAGGA
rnacentral:misc_RNA from 1 species